AUGUUGGCCACUAGACCCUGCUCCUGGCUGGAGACAAACCCGCUCCUUGGCCACGUGACCAGCGCUGGGGAGGCUGAAUGCAGCUGGCUCUGUACGAUGCCACACAUGUUGGUAACAGCUUCACUCUUUCAUCCCCUUGCCCCAGUCUUCAAGUCAACAGAGGAAAUCCUUCUCAGGGACAACGACAAGAUCAAGCAGAGAAUCAUUCAGCUGACGGAGCUGCAGGAGAGCCUGGUGAGCGGGGCUCUGUGGGCGGGCAUAGGGUCUGCCCCUGGGCCCAGCGCGGGGGGGAGGCUACACAGCCCUGGCAUCACCUGGCAUCCUACCAGCUCCACACACCGAUCCACCCCACCCUCUUACCCCAUCCCCCCAAGCCUGAUCCUGCCAGGGGCUGGGGGCAGCCCCAUGCUGGCCCUAACGCACCAUCCCCUCACCCUCAGGUCUGCUCCCAACUCGCAGCCCUGGGCUCAUCUGCUGCGUGCCUGCCCCUUUAAAUGCCCCUGCCCUGAGUAGGGGUGUUCCUUGCACCCUGUGAUUCCUGCUCUAGGACCUUCUAUAUAGCCCCCCUGCACCCUGCAGAGACACCAACCCGUCAAGAACCUGGAUGAGAGCUCGCACCAGACGGCCUGGGGGCAUUUACUGAGAUACUGGGGCUGGUUCCCAGCUCCCCCAUACUGCUCCUGACUUAGGGGUAAAGUCACUUUGACCUACCUGUAUUCUGGGCCCUGCCCCCAGUGUCACUUAGAGCAGCCCUGAGGCUGCCCUAAAUUAUGCUCUGCCCCCUAUGGGCCCUGAGAGGCAGAGAAUAGCCACAGCGCAGUGCAAUGGAGCGUGUUGCCACAGAGGGCGCUCUGCUCUCCACACCCCAUUGUCCUGACAUGCUGGAGGGGCAGAGAACUCGGGUGGAUAAAGAUCCAUAAAGCCCGCUUGCAGGUUUGGUGAUGGACAGCGGCUCUCUUUCUCCUCUUCCAGCAAGACGAAAUUUACAUCCUGGAAGAGCAGCUGUGUAAGUACCCGACGUGGGGGCCAGAGCCCCGGCUACUGGAACUCAGCUGAGCACUGAAGCCAAGGGGACUAGGCCCAGGCACGCCAGCUGAGGACCUGGCACACUAGCUCCUACCAGAGUGAACUGGGGAGGUGGGAGCAGAGGGUUGGAUUUUACGCACCCUUCCUAGAAGUCAGAGGCCUUUCAGUUUGCUUAGUCCAACCCGACCAUGUUUUGUGGGGCAGGCUGGGUAUUUGGUGAGGGUCAAAGUCCAAUUUUCACAAGUCCAGCAGGAGUCAGAGUCUGAAAUUAACUUAUUCCCAGGAGUAAGAUGACUUGCCUCAUUGUGCAGGCGCUGCCCACACACACAGUGACCGAGAUCCAGGUCCCCAUUGUGCCGGGCGCUGCCCAGACACACACAGUGACCGAGAUCAGGGCCCCAUCGUGCUGGGCGCUGCCCAGACACACCGUGACCGAGAUCGGGGCCCCGUCGCACCAGGCGCUGCCCAGACACACAGUGACCGAGAU
rnacentral:lncRNA from 1 species